GAUGAACGCUGGCGGCGUGCCUAAUACAUGCAAGUCGAGCGAACGGACGAGAAGCUUGCUUCUCUGAUGUUAGCGGCGGACGGGUGAGUAACACGUGGAUAACCUACCUAUAAGACUGGGAUAACUUCGGGAAACCGGAGCUAAUACCGGCUGAUAUUUUGAUCCGCAUGGUUCAAAAGUGAAAGACGGUCUUGCUGUCACUUCUAGAUGGAUCCGCGCUGCAUUAGCUAGUUGGUAAGGUAACGGCUUACCAAGGCAACGAUGCAUAGCCGACCUGAGAGAGGGAUAGGCGACACGGGAACGGGGACACGGACAAGAGGACUAAGAGAGGGAGCAGAAGGGAAUCGGACGCAGUGGGGGAAAGCAUUACGGAGCAACGGCGCGUGAGUGAUGAAGGUGUCGGGAUCGUAAUAAUCUGUUAUGAGGGAAGAACAUAUGUGUAAGUAACUGAGCAGAACGUGACGGUACGUAAACAGAAAGCCACGGCUAACUACGUG
rnacentral:rRNA from 1 species